GACGAACGCUGGCGGCGUGCUUAACACAUGCAAGUCGAACGGAAAGGCCCUGCUUUUGUGGGGUGCUCGAGUGGCGAACGGGUGAGUAACACGUGAGUAACCUGCCCUUGACUUUGGGAUAACUUCAGGAAACUGGGGCUAAUACCGGAUAGGAGCUCCUGCUGCAUGGGGGGGGUUGGAAAGUUUCGGCGGUUGGGGAUGGACUCGCGGCUUAUCAGCUUGUUGGUGGGGUAGUGGCUUACCAAGGCUUUGACGGGUAUCCGGCCUGAGAGGGUGACCGGCCACAUUGGGACUGCGAUACGGCCCAGACUCCUACGGGAGGCAGCAGUGGGGAAUAUUGCACAAUGGGCGGAAGCCUGAUGCAGCAACGCCGCGUGCGGGAUGACGGCCUUCGGGUUGUAAACCGCUUUCGCCUGUGACGAAGCGUGAGUGACGGUAAUGGGUAAAGAAGCACCGGCUAACUACGUG
rnacentral:rRNA from 1 species